AACAUCGCGCACCUGCGGGAACCUGCGGAGGGAUCAUUACAGAGAAUCUCCUUCUCGCCAAACCAUCGCGAACGAUACCCCCGACGCCGUUGCCUCGGCGGGGCGGCCGCGCGGCCGCCCCGCCGGGGGAACGCCAAACCAAACCCUUUUUUAGCUACUGGCCUCUUCUGAGUUUGAUUGCAAAAAUCAGUCAAAACUUUUAACAACGGAUCU
rnacentral:misc_RNA from 1 species